rnacentral:rRNA from 1 species
GACGAACGCUGGCGGCGUGCUUAACACAUGCAAGUCGAACGGAAAGGCCCUGCUUUUGUGGGGUGCUCGAGUGGCGAACGGGUGAGUAUCACGUGAGUAACCUGCCCUUUUCUUUGGGAUACCUUCAGGAAACUCGGGCUAAUACCGGAUAUAAGCUCCUUCUGCAUGGUGGGUGUUGUAAAGUUUCGGCGGUUGGGGAUGGACUCGCGGAUUAUCAGCUUGUUGGUGGGGUAGUGGCUUACCAAGGCUUUGAGGGGUAGCCGGCUUGGGAGGGUGACCGGCCACAUAGGGACUGAGAAAGGGCCAAGACGGCAACGGGAGGAAGCAGUGGGAAAUAGUGCAAAAUGGGCGGAAGCAUGAUGCAGCAACGCCGCGUGCGGGAAGACGGCCUUCGGGGUGGAAACCGCUUUCGCCUGUGAAGAAGAGUGAGUGACGGUAAUGGGUAAAGAAGCACCGGCUAACUACGUG